GGCAAAUAAAAUGGUUUUGUUUGUGGAAACACCACGUAAAUUUAUUACUGCAGUAAUAAAUUUACGUGGUGUUUCCACAAACAAAACCAUUAUAUUUUAUCGCCAUGCAAA